rnacentral:rRNA from 1 species
CCUACGGGAGGCAGCAGUGAGGAAUAUUGGGCAAUGGAGGCAACCCUGACCCAGCCAUGCCGCGUGAGUGAAGAAGGUUCUCGGAUUGUAAAGCCCUUUCGGCUGUGACGAUGAUGACGGUACCAUCUAAAGAAGCACCGGCUAACUUCGUGCCAGCAGCCGCGGUAAUACGCAGGGGGCAAGCGUUGUUCGGAAUUACUGGGCGUAAAGGGAGUGUAGGCGGUUUAGUAAGUUAGUGGUGAAAUCCCAGAGCUUAACUUUGGAAGUGCCAUUGUAACUCGUAGACUAGAGUUACAGAGAGGAGAGUGGAAUGCGCGGUGUAGAGGUGAAAUGCGUAGAUAUUGGGUAGAACACCGGUGGCGAAGGCGGCUAACUGGCUGUACAUUGACGCUGAGGCACGAAAGCGUGGGGAUCAAACAGGAUUAGAUACCCGAGUAGUC